rnacentral:rRNA from 1 species
UUAAAAAGCUCGUAGUUGGAUUUCUGCGGGGGCGGGGCGGCCGACAACAACUCGUUGUUCGAGCUAGCACUUCCCCUGCAUCCUGCCGCGAACCGUGCUACCAUUAGUUUGGUGGCGCUGGGGAUCGGCUCGUUUACUUUGAGAAAAAUAGAGUGUUCAAAGCAGGCCACACGCCUUGAAUAAGUUAGCAUGGAAUAAUGAUAAAGGACUUCGGUUCUAUUUUGUUGGUGUUCGGGACUGAAGUAAUGAUUGAUAGGGACAGUUGGGGCGGUCCGUAUUCCAAAGCGAGAGGUGAAAUUCUCAGACCUUCGGAAGACGAACAGCUGCGAAAGCGUUCCGCAAGGAUGUUCCCUUUGAUCAAGAACGAAAGUUGGGGGAUCGAAGACGAUCAGAUACCGUCGUAGUCUCAACUAUAAACUAUACCAGCUAGGGAUCGGCCAACGUUUACUUACACCGACUUGGUCGGCACCUUAUGAGAAAUCAAAGCAUCUGGGUUCCGGGGGGAGUAUGGUCGCAAGGCUGAAACUUAAAGGAAUUGACGGAAGGGCACCACCAGCCGUGGAGCCUGCGGCUUAAUUUGACUCAACACGGGAGAACUUACCAGGUCCAGACAUAGUAAGGAUUGACAGAUUGAUAGCUCUUUCUUGAUUCUGUGGGUGGUGGUGCAUG